GAGCAUAAUUUUGCUAGUUGUGGUGGGCAGCUGUCCGCCGACCAAGCCAGCUCACAUCCUUCUGGUAGCUUCGGCGACCGUACUACAUAAGCACCCCUGCCCCAGACGCUGAAACCACCAUCAGCUUCCAUACUUCCUCUUGAGCAGCUAUCCACUCUCCAUCCAUCUUUCCUCUGCGAGAUCAGCGACAUGUCGACGACUGACACCAGCUCACCCAAGGACGCACCCCUGCCGGAGAACAGCGCCCCGGCGGUGGCGGCAGGCAGCGAGCCGACGGUGACAAAGACGGUGCAGACGGUGGAGGUGAGGCAGUCGGCGGGGCAGGAGGAGGGGGAGGGGACGAUCAAGCCGAUCGAGGUGGUGCACGAGAUCCCGGCCAAGGAGCCUGCUACUAAGCAAGAGUAGCAGAGCACAACGAAUCGAGAAAAGCAGUGUGAUUGGUAAAAUGGUGGUGUCCGCUUGCUGUUUCCCGGUUGAGUAAAUCGCCGGUUGAAACCCCUGUUUUUACUUUGGAGAACUGAAGUGAUUGGAAUAUCUUUGUUUUCGGUAAAUAAUAAUGAGCAUUUUUAGCGCCA